rnacentral:rRNA from 1 species
GUCUUGAAGUAAAAUUUUCAAGUCGAAUCUGCCCACUGAUUAAUUUUUAAGAGCCGCAAUAAUUUGUGCAAAGGUAGCAUAAUGGAUUGUCCUUUAAUUGAGGUCUGGAAUGAAAGAUUUAAUGGUCUCAAUAUUAUAAAAUUUAAAAUAUAAAAAUUUUAAUUUUUAAUUAGAAUGUUAAAAUUUUUUAGGGGGACGAGAAGACCCUAAGAUCUUUAUAAACUAUAUUAAAGAUAAUUUUUAGUUUAUUUAAUUGGGGAAAUUAGAAAAUGAAACUUUUUUGCUUUAUAAAUCAAUUUAAGUGAAUAAACAAAGAAUAAAAUUAAAACAAAUAAGUUACCUUAGGGAUAACAGCGUAAUAAUAAAUUAGAAGAUGAAAUUUAAAUUUAUGAUUUCGACCUCGAUGUUGAAUUAAGGUUUAUUUCAUUUAGUAGAAUUUAUGAAAUUUAGUCUGUUCGACUAUUCAACCUU